rnacentral:piRNA from 1 species
UUCACGAAACCCCUUUUGUCCACUCCAGCC